CCAAUAGCGUAUAUUAAAGUUGUUGUGGUUAAAAAGCUCGUAGUUGAACCGUGGGCCUGGCUGGCCGGUCCGCCUCACCGCGUGUACUGGUCCGGCCGGGCCUUUCCCUCUGUGGAACCCCAUGCCCUUCACUGGGUGUGGCGGGGAAACAGGACUUUUACUUUGAAAAAAUUAGAGUGCUCCAGGCAGGCCUAUGCUCGAAUACAUUAGCAUGGAAUAAUAGAAUAGGACGUGUGGUUCUAUUUUGUUGGUUUCUAGGACCGCCGUAAUGAUUAAUAGGGACGGUCGGGGGCAUCAGUAUUCAAUUGUCAGAGGUGAAAUUCUUGGAUUUAUUGAAGACUAACUACUGCGAAAGCAUUUGCCAAGGAUGUUUUCAUUAAUCAGGAACGAAAGUUAGGGGAUCGAAGACGAUCAGAUACCGUCGUAGUCUUAACCAUAAACUAUGCCGACUAGGGAUCGGACGAUGUUAUUUUUUGACUCGUUCGGCACCUUACGAGAAACCAAAGUGUUUGGGUC
rnacentral:misc_RNA from 1 species